CCACACCCGAGAGUAGAAGAGAAAAGCCAUGGCUGACAGGAUUCUGAAGGACAGGAGGAAGCGGUUUAUCCACUCAGUGGGCACAGGUACAAUAAAUGGCUUACUGGAUGAAUUGUUAGAGAAAAGAGUGCUGAACCAAGAAGAGAUGGAGAAAGUAAGAGUUGAAAAUGCUACAGUUAUGGAUAAGGCCCGGGCUUUGCUGGACUGUGUCAUUCGGAAAGGGCCCCAGGCAUGCCAGAUUUGCAUCAACCACAUUUGUGAAGAUGACUGUCACCUUGCAGGACUGCUGGGGCUCUCCUCAGGUCCACAAUCUGAAAACCAUUUUAAUGCACAAGAUUCUGUGGAAGCAUUUUCUUCCUUUUCAGCUCCACAGACUACGCAGGACAACCAGGUUGUGCUCACACUUUCAGGCCCAAGAGGGGGCCUCAAGCUUUGCCCGCUAGAGACAGCCCAAAGGAUAUGGAAAGAAAAGUCAGAAGAGAUUUAUCCAAUAAAAAUGCAAAGUUCAGGCCGCACCCGUCUUGCCCUCAUUAUCUGCAACACAGAGUUUGACAAUCUCCCCAGAAGGACUGGAGCUGAUGUUGAUAUCACAGAUAUGAAGAUGCUGCUGAUAGGUCUGGGAUACAGUGUAGAUGUGAAAGAAAACCUCAAUGCUUUGGACAUGGCUACAGAGUUGAAGGCCUUUGCUGAUCGCCCAGAGCACUGGAAUUCUGACAGUACUUUCCUAGUGUUCAUGUCUCAUGGUACUAGAGAUGGUAUUUGUGGGAAGAAUUACUCUGAGCAAUACCCAGAUAUACUGAAGGUCAACACCAUCUUUGAGAUGUUAAAUACCAAGAACUGUCAGAGUUUGAAAGACAAACCCAAGGUGAUCAUCAUCCAAGCCUGUCGUGGUGAGAACCAAGGAAUAGUGUGGCUAAAGGAUUCAAUAGAAGAUUCUGGAAGCACAUCUUUACUGAAUCCAGAUGAUUUUGAGUAUGAUGCCAGUAGGAUAGCCCACAUAGAGAAGGAUUUUAUUGCUUUCUGCUCUUCAACUCCAGAUAAUGUUUCUUGGCGACAUCCCAAACAGGGUUCACUUUUCAUUAUGAGACUCAUCAAAAAUAUGCAGGAAUAUGCCUGGUCUUGUGAUGUGGAGGAAAUCUUCCGAAAGGUUCGAUUUUCAUUUGAACUGCCAGAAGGUAGGACACAGAUGCCUACCACUGAAAGGGUGACACUGACAAGACGAUUCUAUCUCUUCCCAGGACAUUAAAAUAUAGGACAUUUGUUGGACUUUCUGCUUUAAGGACAGAUGCAAAUAGUAGUAGGCAGAGUUAGACGGUGAGAGAGAGAGACAGAGACAAAGGUCUUCCUUUUCCGUUGGUUCACCCCUCAAUGGCCACUACGGCCAGCGCUGAGCCGAUCUGAAGCCAGGAGCUAGGUGCUUCCUCCUGGUCUCCCAAGCGGGUGCAGGGCUCAAGCACCGGGGCCAUCCUUCACUGCCUUCCCGGGCCACAGCAGAGAGCUGGACUGGAAGAGGAGCAACUAGGACAGAAUCCAGCGCCCCAACUGGGACUAGAACCUGGAGUACCGGCACCACAGGAGGAAGAUUAGCCAAGUGAGCUGCGGCACCGGCCUAUUAUGUUCUUAAAGUUGUGUAUGUGAAAUACAUGAAAUCUGUUCUUGUUACAUAAAUACAUAAAUAAAUUUAUUUAUUUUUACAAAAUGAUAGUGAUGAGACAGAGAGAAGAUGCAUAGUGACGGACAGCUUUAACAGGACACUUAAGGCAGAGUUACAGAGAAGGGGAAGGAGAGAUAAUUUCACCACCCAAAUGGCUGCGAUGGCCAGAGCUGGGCCAGGCUGUAGCCAGGAUCCAGGAGUUUUAUCUGGGUCUCCAACAUGAUUGCCGGGGCAUUUGGGCCAUCCUCUGCUGCUUUCCCAGAAAUAUCAUCAAGGAGCUAGAUUGGAAGUGGCACAACCGGGACUCAAAUCAGCACCCAUAUGGAUGCCAGAAUUCCAAGCAGUGGCUUAACCCAUUAUGCCACAACACUGGCCCGAAGAUAUAACUUCCUAAGGAUUUGAAUUUUUAGGUAAGUAGAA